UUCAAAGAGUUAACAAAACUUCCCAUUACCAAUAUCAGUGUAGCCUAAGAUACGGGUCUAUCGAUUUUGGCUCAGUCUUUUCUCAAAAAUCAGUCCCAUUUUGGUUAAAAUUGGUUGAGUCCGCCCACUAAUACAUUGUGCUACCGAAAAAUAUGGAGAAUUUCAGAUAUGGAGCGACAUAUAUGGAAGAAAAAAUAAAUUGGCGUUUGAAGAAGACGGGGAAAGGAAGCGAGCGCUAUUGGAAGAACAUUCUCAUAGUGUUCAAGACUUUUUUGAGGUGUUUGCAGGUUCUUAUCUAUCCUCUGUUUUGUUUAAUCAUAUUGAGAUCUAAUUCUUUGUUAUUGUAGUAUUUAAAAUAAUAGUAUUUUUGUGUUCUGAAAGUAUCUUAAAAAAAUUUCUUUCAUAUCGUCUCUUCAUAUUUGUUUGUAGUCUAACUAGAUGGUAUAUGUGCUCAAUUAUCCAGCUUUUAGGAAACAGGGGUAUUUGGGAUAUAUGAAGCUCAUGUACUAGUAGCAGUUAGGGGUAGCUUCAAGCCAUAUAGAGCUUUUUACUUUCUUUAAUGAAUUUGUUACCAUGCACGUCACCUCGGCGGUGAGGUAAUUUUUGUGGCAUGUGACCGCACGUUUAUGUGGAUGUUGGUUUAUAUAAGCAAUUGUUGCUCUUCAGAACUGAAUCAGUUGUUGUUGUUUUUGUCGUUGUUGAAAUUGCUGUGAGGAUGAAAAUGAAAGACAAAAUGAAAUUUUAUGUUAGAGUGAAUUAUGAAAGCUAAUAGGAGUACAAGAAAAGGAAAAGGAAAAUAUAAUAUGGACUAACAUGGUACUUGUAGUUUUCAUGUUAUGGUGUUUGAUGAUAAUGGUUGUGGCAUUUCUUUUUCUUUUUUAAAAAAAAAUGAGAAGGAGUUUAGUGUGUACACUUUAAAGGUUUGAUUUUUGGCAUAUUACUGUACACCUAGAGAUGGAGCUAUGAUUUUGAGUUUAUCAGUUCUAGUUAUAAAAAUUACAGCUUACUUGGUUUUUGAUAAGUUAUUUAUACGUAUUAAAUAAAUACAGGGUUUUUAUCAGUUCUAGUUAUAAAAAUUGCAGCUUACUUGGUUUUUGAUAAGUUAUUUAUACGUAUUAAAUAAAUACAGGGUUUGAGCUAAAGUUAUUGGGUUAUGCCGAAACCGUAUACAAUGCUAGCUGCUAGUAUGCUAUGCUAUUGUUGUUGAGUUCUGUACUUCUGUGCUGAGUUCUGGUUUUAUAAGUUUGUUUAUUUUGCUUUCUGUUAUCCAAAAGUAAUGGCUAUGACCCGUAUAAUACUGAUAUUGAGCGCUUAGCUCAUCGUCCAAAGAGGGUUGCAGAAGAUCAGUGGCGUUCAUUAGUUCAUUAUUGGAGUUCAAAAGAAGCAAAGGUAUUCCAUUAAUAUCAAUAAUCAUUUUCUGCUGCUCCUUGACUAUUAUCUCAUAUAUUAUUGUGUUUAUCUUUUCUAGGAAAAGAGCGAGAGAAACAAAGAAAGUCGAAAAAAGUUGACUAUGCCACACACAUCCGGAAGAAAAAGUCUUGCUCAAAUUAUAGAUGAUAUGACAAAAGAGAAUACUGGUGUAAAGCCAACUCGUAUUGAGGUGUGGAAAAAAACUCACACUAGAGAGAAUAAACAACCAGUAAAUGACAUAGCCGGUGAAGUUAUGAAACAAAUGGAUGAUCUUGCUGAGGUGUAUCCCGAGUUAAAUGUCCCUGGAAGUGCUCGCAAUGAUAUAUAUUCACAAGUAAUGGGACCAGACACUCAUGGGAUUAUUUGAACUCUAGGAAAAGGAGCAGCUCCAAGUUUAGUUUAUGGCCCAGUAUAUAAACGAUCACAGUUGGAGCAAUGAGAUUUUGAUGCAAGGGUUGAGAUAGAAGUUCAAAAAGCUACCAUAGCAAUCCAAAUUGAUAUGGAUAAAAAGUUGGCUGAAGCAAAACAAAAUAUGGAAGCAAAACUGGAUGAAAGAAUGGAUGAAAAGGUGAAGGAAAAAGUGAAGGCUGAGAUGCAAGCAUACAUACAGAGUAUCGGUUUUAUGAAUGGCUCAAACAGUAAAUCAAUCAGUAAUGAAGAGCUUUCCCAUAACUCAGUUGAAGACCGCCAACAAUCAUUAUCUCCUGUAUCAGUUGUUCCAACAAAAAAGCACUUUUGAAGAGUGUGUGAUACCAAUUAUUGGCAAGUGAUGCUUGAAUUAUAGAAAGAUGAAUUCCAUUUGUCUUGUUGCAGAAUUUAUUCUAGAAAUUUAGGGAAUUAAAGAGAAAGUUUGGCGUAGUUUCAUGUUGAAAUCACUUUAGCUUUUAUGUUUUAGUUAGAAUUUGUUUUAUUUGAGAUAGAACAACAAGUCCUUUGAUUUGACAGCGUCUAACUUGCAAGGAGACCUUUCUCUGUUAUGUCCUU